UCGCAACCAGUUACAUCAUCACAGGGAAGUGGGAGAGCUGAUUGGAAACCUAUCAGAGCUUUAACAACAUGAGGGAUCUGUGCCUAUAUAGAUCUUUACUGCAUACACACACUCUACUUUAGUUCUGUGUAGUUGCAUUUCAGAACAUUAGAAGCACCUCUUAAAACCCUCUGGAGUCUGCAAAAACGGCAGUGCAUUACUUCUUCAUGACAUCACGAUGUAAAAACUUCAGCAGUGUGUUUCCUGCAGUCUGCUUCUCUUCCUCUAAAGUUCUGACUUGAAACUCCAUGCCAGUUUUUGUUUGAUGAUGAUAUGCCAAGUAAAACCAGAGAUAUGGUCAAAUAUAUUUAGUAUAAAACAUAGAACUAGAUGUUCCUCAUUUUACCUCUUAUAUAUUAUAUUUGAAACCAGCAUUUAAAAUAGUUCAUUCAGCAUGAUCGAAACUAAAAAAUAACAUUUUCCAAAUCAGAUUUUAUGUUGUUUUAUGUUUGGGCUCAAAAUGUUGAUCCAGGAAGUCAAAGUGAAAGUGAAGUGAGACUGUUAGAAACAAUAUUUAAAUUUAUCUGUGUCCACACCAUCACUAACUGCAGGUGCAUCUCAAUACAUUAGAAUAUGAAAAGUCCAUUUCCAGUAGUUCAAGUCAAAUAGCCCCAACCAAGUAUUGAGUCAUAUAGAUGGACAUACUUUUCAGAGGCCAACAUUUCCAUAUUAAACAUACUUGUUAAAAUUGGUCUUUUGUAACAGUAAUUUUGUUUUUGAUACACUGAAUUUUUGGUCUUUAUUAAAUGUAAGCCAUAAUAGACAUUAUCAUUAGAAGAAUUUAAAUAAAUGAAGACAUGAAAUGUUUCAUUUUGUUUGUAAUAGAUCUAUAUAGUCAAAGUUUAUUUAUAUAGCACAUUUAAAAACAACCUCAGUUGACCAAAGUGCUGUAAAGUUGUUAAGAUACAAUAAAAAAAUCAUACACAAAUAUAGUAAUAAAUAAAAACAAUGAAAUUGAUGAAAUACUAAAAAACAAUAAAAUAGUAAUAAAAACUAAAUCUAAAAACAGAGUAAGAGUUAAAAAAAAAAAAAAAUUUAAAAGUGUAAUUUCCACUUUUUGAAUUGAAUUACUGACAUAAAUAAACUUUCUAUGAUAUUCUAAUGUAUUGAGAUGCACCUGUAUAACCUCAAUGCCAAUAAGUGCAUUAUAUGAAGGAUAUUUGUAGACUGAGAAAAUAAUAAUUAUAAUAAGUUUGUCACAAUCAUUUGUUCCUUCCUUGUUUUGUGCUGCUACGACACCUAGUGGCCAAAGCUAUACUUUAAUUCAGGGGUGUCAAACUUAUUUUAUUUCAUUGGCCAAAUACAGAUCAAUUUGUCCUCAAGCAGACGUAACCAGUAAAACUGUUAAAUAAUAACCUGUGUAUGACAAAACCUCCAGUUGUUUCCCUUUU